GAGGCGAGAGCAUCUGGCGGUGUGGCAAUACCCUUGCACAGCGAGGAAGCUGAGUGUCACUCUAAUUUUGAGUGACAGCUUCAUAUGUCAUCUCUCUGGGAUCUGAGCUCAGUCCCUCUGGAAUUUGAGUUGCAUCUUCCUUGCUGUUCUCUUUGCCAGCCCCUCGGCUGGGCACUCAGCUGCUGGAGCACCUGCCCAGUGGCAGAGAUCUGCUUACCCCCCUCCCUUCAGCCAACCCUGCUUCUUCCUUCUUGGGUCUCAAGAAGGAGGAUCAGCCAAUGGGUAGACAAAAGGCACAAUAUGGUCAUUUUUAUAAAAAAUGAAGCCUCAAUAGACUUGUCUGCCUGGGAUGCUGCAUGACUUAGGGACUGUCAUUGGUGGGUCUACAACAGUCCAUGUCGGAUACAGUUCACAUUUAUAGGUCCUCAUCUGGUGCUCAGAUCACCCUGCCCCUGUAGAAGACUGCCUGAGGGUCCCCUAGGUCUGGAACAAGUUGCUUCGGAGUUUUUGUGGCCUGUGUGAGCAAGCCUGUGGGCCUCCUAGAAAGGCCAAGGCUUUGCCGAACUUCCUCAAAAGAGUGUCUAGGGUUAUCUCUGCCUCUCUCUUCUCCUACGUUCUGUCCAAAGAAGCAAAGGAGGGAGCUCAGAACCAUGAGGAUGAGACCUCGGAGAGACUCUGUGUGUGUGAUAGGCCAAAGCUGUGAGGUUGAGGUCAUAAAGAGGCUGAGUGCAGGCCAUAGGGGCAGACACCCUGCCCUCACCGGGGCAUCCCAUUCUUCCAGGGAUAGAUGACUAAUGUCUUCCCUAAGUUUCCAGCUGUGAGUGACAGGGGCUUCUGGAGCCCUGCUCUGGGUCUGCAGAGAGCUGGCGUUUGCCUUUGGCCUCUUCAGGCAGCUCGCAUCUGUCUUUCAAGCAAUCGAAAAGGCCUCACCAUUCCAGGAGCAAGCAAGCGCUGAGCCAAGGAUGGGUAGAGAACUCCGGCACGCCUCGGGAGAAAGAAAAGUUUUAUUGCAGCACAGAAGUUCUGCUGUGUACUUGGUUCCCUGCUGACCCAGCUAAUGUUCGAGCUUUCAAAGAACCAGGGUCCACUGUGAGGAGCCAUGGAGAAGGACUUUGCCUCUCCCAUAGAAGGUCUCUCUGCGCUCCCAGCCAAGACCAAGCCAAGCCCAAGCUCAAGAUCUCUGCUGUCAAGCCAAGAACUUUCCCCGAGGGACCAGCUGGAGCUCCCCACUUCCCCCUUGGCCUCGGGCCAGAUCCAACCCGAGGACCCCCACUUCCAUUCUCAGCUCUUCUGUGGCUUUCAAUGGCUCCUACGCGUCGAAGAGCCUGACAACCAGACGGGCCUCAGCCUCCUCGCAGGCCUGGGGACCCCCAGCCAGCUCCGGCUGUCCCAAUCAGACUGUGACUUCCCACCCUGGGAUCAGUGUCCCAGGGCUGCCCAACGGCCCAGCCCUGUGGCAGAGCAGACACGGGACCUCAGAACCCUGUGUGUGUGAAGAUCUCAUACUAUGUAUAAUCCAGACUGAUCUCAAACUCACAGUUAUCCUCCGGCCUCAGCCUCUCAAGAGUUGGAACCACAGGUGUGCACCACCAUACUCAGCUAUGUGGCAGGUUUUCUUUUUCUUAUUCAGUGACACAUAAAAGCAACUGGGGGCAACGGAGACUUGUGCAACUCAGUGUUACUUCAUUGUGAUUUGAGUGUGAAAUCACCCAAGACUCAGCAGGUGGCUUCGCUUGGGGAGGCUGUGUGGUUUUGCUGGAUGAAAUCCAUCCCUGGGGGUGGGCUUUGAGGUGUUCUAGCCGGGUCCCACUUCCUGUUCUUUCUGCUUUGCAACGCCAGGAGCCCUGAGCACGCACAGUCACAGUGUCGUCUCUGUACCCUCUGGAUCCUAAGGGAUAAACCCUUUCUCUCUA